UUGCGCGGCGCGACCAGAUUCGGGGGCGGGCCGCGCGGAGCUUUAGUUCCCGGAACGCCGGCGCUUGGGGGCAGUGGCCGCGGCUGUUGGCCCACCGGGUGCCGGGCAUAAGCUUCCCGCGGCCCCCGGUGGGGGGCAGUUCGUGUGCUGGUCGCGGCGAGAGAGAGGCGCGGUAGGAACGAGUCCCCAGAGCCAUGAACCGCGGGUACGGGUGUCCAGUCCGCGCUGUCGGCCAAGCCGGUUUGCUUCCUGAUCUGUGGCUAGGGCCGCCGGCCCCCGUUGCUAAGGACCCUUGAGAUCGUGAGCACUUGGAGUGUGCCCCUCCUUUCCUGGGGUAGAGGGUCUGUCGAGAGUAUCGUUCGUUAACCUUAAUUAAAACUGGGGUGAAAGGGAAGCAAUGCAGAAAUCAGAGGGCUCUGGAGGUACACAGUUGAAAAACAGAGCAAGAGGUGACUAUGAUCAAAGGACAUCAUCAAGCACACAGAUAAAACACAGGAAUGCAGUUCAAGGAAGCAAAUCCUCAUUGUCAACCAGUUCUCCAGAGUCUGCAAGAAAACUUCAUCCUCGACCAAGUGAUAAACUGAACCCUAAAACAAUUAACCCGUUUGGUGAACAGUCACGAGUGCCUUCUGCGUUUGCAGCUAUUUACUCCAAAGGAGGUAUUCCUUGCAGAUUGGUACAUGGUUCAGUGAAACACAGAUUACAGUGGGAAUGUCCUCCUGAAAGUCUUUCAUUUGAUCCACUUCUUAUUACUUUAGCCGAGGGUCUGAGAGAAACCAAGCAUCCAUACACCUUUGUGUCAAAGGAGGGUUUUAGAGAAUUACUUUUGGUCAGAGGUGCUUCUGAAAAAGCUGUUCCUUUGCUACCUAGACUGAUUCCUGUGCUAAAGGCAGCUCUGGUCCAUUUGGAUGAUGAAGUGUUUGAAAGAGGAUUGAAUGCCCUAGUUCAGCUAAGUGUUGUUGUUGGUCCUUCUCUAAACGACCAUCUGAAGCAUUUGCUUACAAGCCUUUCCAAGAGAUUAAUGGACAAGAAAUUCAAAGAGCCAAUCACCAGUGCAUUACAAAAGCUAGAGCAACAUGGCGGAAGUGGAAGCCUUAGCAUCAUCAAAUCUAAAAUUCCAACGUACUGCUCCAUGUGCUGUUGAAGAAGGGAGCCAACAAAAAUUGUUUUUUCUAGCUGGUGACGUGUCAAACACUGACUGUGGGUCCUCAUGGAACCUUUAUUCCAUGUAUUUUAUUCUUUUGUAAAUCACAGCCACCAUUCAUUAUUUACUAGGUUAAGAUGAAUAUACACUGAAUCAAAGUUAUUCAGCAACAAAAGAGAACAGUUACUAAUGGAAAGUUACUAAAAUAAGUUCUGUAAGAGGACAAUUUUCUGAGGUUUAUUUUUUUUAUUUUUAUUAUUUGUGCAAAGAACUAUUAUUGAGUUGGCAAGAUAAGAUGCAUUUGUAUUUUCUGGUGCCUUUUUAUUGAUAACACUUUUUUGGCAAACAAUUUGUAGCUGUGCCCUUAGUUUUAUAGAUAGUUUGCCGUUUCUUGGGUUUAAUAUUUAACAAGACCGUAGAAAUUUAAAAUAGUGGACAAAUGUUUGUGAAUACACUUUUUAAAAAUUGUUUUAAAAGAUAGAAGGGAUCUUGCUUUGUUGCCAGACUGCAGUGCAGUCGCAUGAUCAUAGCUCACUGCAAGCCUCAAAUUUUAGUGCACAGAUGAUCCUUUCAUCUCAGCCUCCCGAUUAGCUGGGACUACAUGGUGGCACAUGCCACCAUGCCUGGCUAAUUUUAAAAUUUGCUUGUAGAGAUGGGAUCUCACUCUGUUGUCUAGGCUGGUCUCAAUUCUGGCCAGUGAUCCUCCCACAAUGGACUUCCAAAGUGCUGGGAUUACAAGUGUGAGCCACCAUGCCUGGCCCCAUGAAUACACUAUUAAUUAUUGUUUGUAAAUAUGUAUUGUAUAAUGUACAAUGCUUGGAAAAUUUUUUCAGAGUAUUCUAGAAUAGUUUAAGAAAUUUUUUCUAAUUCUGUAAAUUCUAUUACAAGUAUGUUGUUUAUUACAACUCAUUACAACUACCUAAAUUUUAGGUGUUAACUCUAUUUAAGUAAAUAUUAUUUUUGCAUUUCAUAGCCAGAAAAUACUGAUGUUCACAUAAGGAUAUUCAGCAAUUAAAAUGUUAAAACUUGUACAUGCAUUCAUGGAUUUUGUUGUGCUUAUAUUUAGCAAUUUUUAAGAAGCUUUUAAAACUUAAUUUAGACAUAGUUCAGAAUUUUGAUGUAAUAGAAGCGAUUCCUUCUGCAAGAGAGGAGCAGAGGAGAGGAAGAGAAAUGAAAAACAAGAAUAAGACCUUCUAUCUCAUGAGCAAAAGGAGAGGCCAUAGAGAUUUCUGUAGCCACACCAAAUCCAAAGCAUGAAAGGGAUGGAAAGGAAAGAUGGGUCUUGCGGAGCAGCAGUUUUGCAUCUCAGCAGCUUUGCAGAAUGCACUUUCCUUGCUCUGUUCCCCGAACACCUGGAGUGACCUCUACGAUUCUCAUUUCAGAUCACGAUGAAGGAGGAACCAUUUUAUAUUUUGUGGAGUCUAUUGACGGCAUUAAACCACUUUAUUUAAAUCUUUACUUGGUAUUUAAUAGAGGAUAUUUCUCAAAUCAUAAUGCCAAAAUGGAAACUACAGAGGCGCAGAGGUAAGUCAAAGCAAAUGAGAAUUUUGGCAUUCUAUGUAGAUCACAGGCCAAACCACACAGACUUUUAUACAGGUACAAGGAAAAUUGUAUGUAUGAGCCAGCAGUUCAUGAAGAUUGGAGGCUGGAGUGUAGGAGGCAGGAUAGUGGAUUAAGAGGGAACAUGUUUGCAGUAAUCAUCUCUCUCUCUCUGCAAGUUAUGGCUAAAUCUGUGUUGCCUGAAGGAGACUUUAAAAAUGAAUGGUCUCCAUUACAGAGAAAGGAUGGUGGAGCAGAAACGACUAGCUCAGUGGCUGUGUUCAGUUUAGCGUAUUCUUUAGAAAUGAGUUAGAGGACAGACUUUUUGCAUUAUUGGAGCACUUGUUGGUUGCAUGUGAAUAGCACUUAGCUGUUUAUGGUAGUGGUAAAUGGUGGCUGAACCAACAGUGGCUUCCACUGCUAGAAACCAAGUAACAUCAUCACCACCAAACAGCUUAAUGUCACCAAACUAAUUCUCUCAAAGACCACCACAUUGAAAUCCAAGUUGAGAAACAAGCAGACAUCCAGAAAGGUAAGAACAACAAUUUAAAAAAUUUAAAAAUACAGAAACAACAGAUUUCUUUGUUUUCAUGAUUAUUUGAAUUUUUUUUUUUUCGAGGCAGAGUCUAUUUCUAUUGCCCAUCAUUCUGGAGUGCAGUAGCACAAUCAUGCCUCAGCUGGGCUCAAGUGAUCCUCCCAAGUAGCUGAGACUUCAGCCAUGUACCACCAUGCCCAGCUAACUUAAUUUUUUUUUUUUUUGUAGAGAUGGGGUCUUGCUGUGUUGCCCACAUUGGUCUCAAGUUAUUUUCCUGCCUCAGCCUCCCAAAGUGCUGGGAUUACAGUUGUGAGCUACUGUACCAGGCCUUAACAAUUUUUAACUGUGGUUCUACUCACACAUCAAGUCAGAUAAUUCUAAGUAAGCUAACACUGGUUUCUUCGAUAACAGGCUACUACCUGCAGUUCUCUUCAGAGAAAAUUUUCCACUGUUUCUUUUUUGUGACAGAAGACCAUUAGUGAGUUCAGCCAAAGAUCCAUUUCUUGUCCACAUACACUAAAAUAAUGAUUUUUCUCUUAGAAAUCAGAUAGAAGCUUGGCCUGUUUUGAUGCAUACUUGGCUAUUUAGGAAUUCUAAUUCUAUGGAAAUAUGAUAGAUAAUAUGAGUUAUGCUAAGUCUGUGCAAAGAGCAGUUCAAAUUCUCAUAUAUGUUUUAUCCUCCAUGAUGAAUACUCUCUAAGGAA